AGUUAAAGGUGAAUGGGAGGAAGUCCUUAUUUGGACUUCCUGUCAAACCUCAACCGUCUUCUCUAUCCUAUGUUUCAUUUUGCUCGCCGGAACUCAGAUAAGUGUGUUACAGAGAGAGAACGCCCCACGUGCCAGGAAGGGUGAAGUCGAAGUAUUGAGAAAGUCUACUACCUCUUCCCAGGGACCUCCAUGGUAUGGAGCGAAGAAAUGUGAGGAAGGAGGAACAAGCCAAGCGAGUCUGAUGCUGUGUUUGGCGUACAGGCUGCUCUGUAAACGACACAGCUCUGUAAACGACACAGCUCUGCAAGCAGAGACACACAGCACCUCUGCACCAGAGUGAUUUGGAGUUGAGGUGCUGGAGGAGAAGGGGAAGCUGAGGAAAGAAAAAGACCAUCAAAUUCCACCCUUCCCAUUGGGUGCCCCAAUGAGGUCUGAGUCACCGCCUGGCUCUUGACAUUCCAAGCUUGCUUCUGAAAACUGUGCCUCAGGUAUGUGAGGGCCCUGGAUCCUUCAGGUAGGUUUCCUUGCUAUAUGAUGCCUAUAUCCUUGGGGCCCUAAUUUUGCAAGAACAGUUGCACAUUACUGUUCAGUUUUCUCCUACAAUAUGACAGGGAAUAAAGCAGGCAGCCUAGAGUAACUACAUAGUGGACCACAGGCUGGCAGGUGGCUAAGCCCCACCAGUGGAGUGUCUGACUUUAAAUUCCUUUUAAAAUCACCCGAUCUUUAUAUUUUUAUUUCAUAGAGCUAGAAUUGAACCUGGAACCUUGCACAUGCUACAGCCCCAGCUCUUCUUGUCUUCCGUAGCAUGCGGCUAAGGCUUAACAUCCUUCAUGGUGCAUUUGUUGAUAAAUGAAGCUGUUAGUAUUACAUGCCUGAGCUAUACCUGAUGCAACAUAAGAAACAUUUCCCGUUUAUUUACCUUCCCCAGACAAUGCCAGUGCUUCCUUUCUGUGCUAGCAUGCCACGAUCCUCGCAGUGGCUGAUUUAAUUCUGUCUGCCUCUCUUUAGAGACAGAUACAAAAUAAACACAAAUAAUCCUGCAGCGAGGAUGUAUUCUGCAAAGCUCCUGUGGAGUACCAUUGGAGGGUGAUCAGACUGGUUACCAGGGAACAGGAAUGCUGCUGAGAGCAGAAAGAGCUCUGUUUAUAGGAUGUUGAGUAACAAGUGCACCUUGGGGCCCUGCCUAGAGAAUAAAAAUGCAAGGGUAUCCUUAACCUGUUCCCACCUCCUUGUGUUGAUGAGUCAAUCUUUUCCCUGCCUUGUUUCAUAUGCCUCUGUUGUAAAAUUCCCUGGUCCUCACUUGUCCCCAGCAAAUGGUAACUCCUUUUGCUUCUAAUAAGAAACCACAAUCCUGCCUGCAGAACACAAGGUGGGAGGGGAGUGCGUGAGAAUGACAGCCAUAUCAUCAGCUCAGUUCAGUAACUGCUGAGGCCCAACUGCUGGGGAGUGAGACCCCUUCAGUUCACUGCUUCAUCCUCCCCUAGCAGAACCGGGCCUCUGUAGGUCUUUAGCCAGGGAGAUGACAUAGGUCCCCAGCUCUAAAUAAAACUUAGGCUAGGCCAAUAAAAACACCAGGUUCUCAUAAGCAAGCUUCCACCUCUCCAACCACUCGCCACCAUUGUUCCUUGCUACCUACUAUCUCACUUUGGCUCUUCUUUAAAAGGGAAAUGCUAGUUUUCCAAUCAGCACACAAAGUAUUCCAUUUCAUUAUGGAUUUUUUUCAGGGAGAAAUCAGUAUUCAGAGAUUUAAUUCGAUGUUAGACUCUGAAAUCUUCUGGCAAACUAGAAGAAAUCCUGUACCUUUGAUUCUCUUAUCUCAUAUGCAUAUACAUGCUGUCCUAAUUAUUUCUGUUGUAAGGAUAAAAAUAUCCAGUUUGGGGGUACAGUCCACUGUGGUGGUGAGGUCAUAGCAGCUGAAUCUGCUAUAGUCAUUGUGGAAUUUUUUAUAAUACAUUGUUUUAAUUGAUCCUCUUCCCCCGUUUCUCUCCACCAACCAAUCUCCCCAAUUUGUACCUUUCCACCCCAGCAAUCCCCUUUUGUCUUUCAUGCCAGUGUGUAGUUUCUCAUUUUAAAAAUUGUAUUUUUAUGUGAAAGAUCUCUUUGCCUGCACACAUGUAUGUACACCAUGUGUGUGUCUGGUGCCCACAAAAGUCAGAAAAGGUGUCAGAUCCCAUGAAACUGGAGUUAUAGACAGUUAUGAGCUACCAAAGGGGUGCUGGAAUCUAAACCCAUGUCCUCUGAAAGAACAUCAAGAACUCUUAGCCUCCAGAGACAUCUCUCCAGUCCAUGUCAGAUGUAUUCUAUCACACCCCCUCUUUUCCCCUCACACAGGCCGUUCUGCAUGUGUUUUCAUUCUGUGGUUCAGGAAGUCUCAACCAGACCAUUCCAAGCCCAGAAUUCCCCAAAUGGAAACAUCCUCUGACAUAGAGGGGAGGUUUGCUCCCAUUUUGUCAGCAUCCAGGGUGAAUCUGGGACCACAGGAGGGACAAAGCUCCAACAGAAUCAGUUCCUCAGUCUUGGAUUUUCUUCCUCUAAAGUUUGAAGCUCAGGCUUUCAUUUCUUUCCAAAGACAGAACGUAAGAAGGGUGAAUCCUCAGACUACAGCUGAGUGGCCUUGAAUGACCCACUCAACUUUUUCUUUCUGUGCCUUAGUUUCCCUACAAGGUUGGGGAGACCUAAAUCACAGGCUUGGCUUCUCCGGUGCUUCUGAAGACUGAAAUGAAGUGGUAAGCUUGCUGUCCGUGACAGUCCUUGCUGGAAAGUAGGAGAAGAAUGAACGAAGGACGUUGUGUCCAAUGCUGAAAGACAGAGCGAUAUGAUGAAGCUGUCCUUGGAGAUGGGGAAAGGGACACAAGCCAAACAUGGGCGAUUUCUGCAAUCUGCUGGAGGCCAGGAAAAGGAUGCUGCCUUAGAACCUGGAGAAAGGAGGAGAACCCUUGGUUUUAUCUCAAGGAGAUGCAUCUCGAUUGUUGUUGAUCAGAGAAUUGUAUGAUAAUCCCAUUUGUAUUGUUGUAAAUCUCAGGUUUUCGACCUAUAGGUCGUGACCACUUUUGGGUUGUAUGUCAGAUAUUUAUAUUAUGAUUCAUACGAGUAGCAAAAUUUGCAGUUAAGAAGUAGAAAUGAAAAAUUUUAAGGCUAGGGUUACCACAACAUGAGAAACUGUAUUAAAGGGUCUCAGCAUUAGGAAGGUUGAGAACCACUGAUCUAAGUUAUUGUAGCAAUAGGAAACUAAUUCAUCAACUAACUUAAAAAAACUACCCCUAUCAACUGUGUCACCUCCAAUGACCCAUCUACCUCCUCCUCAAUGCCCCUAGUUUCUGGGUACACUGGCCCUCUUGUCCAAUAGCCGCCUUCCACAAGCAAUAUGCCCACUAUCUAGAACCACCACACUUGGACCCCUUUGUUGAUACAAGGAGUGGUGAUGGCCUGCUUCCUGCUGGACUGGGGAUUCUAAGCAUUCAAUAAUUCAGCAGAGAAACCAGGAAACUACUGUCCAAAGGAUUGUUUGCCUUCGCAGAUACCAUCGUUUAGCAACCAGGACAUUCAGCUACAAGGUGAGCAGUGCAACAUGUGCCACUUUCUGAUAGAGACUGGGCUGGCUGAGGAUGAUCAGCUGGACACUCAUGAGUUUUGAGUGCUUGUGCCUCUCUGAAGCUUAAGUGAGCAUGUCCUUGCAGUGAAAAGAAUGUCCCUUCUGUCCCUUGUCAUGGAUUAAAAACCUCACAGUUCAUAUAAUAUAAUCAUUUGGGGUCUGCAUCCUUUCAGCUUGUACCAGUGUAAGGCCUUCAUGAAAUCAACUAAACAGACUGGUAGGUAGGUAGGUAGGUAGAUAGAUAGAUAGAUAGACAGACAGACAGACAGACAGACAGACAGACAGACAGACAGACAGACACCAUGUAAGCCGAACAAACCACGUCUUUUGGUUGCAGGAGCUUCAUGCCACUCUGAGGACUGCUGAAAGAUGUUUGUUGUUUGUUUUUUUUUAAUUGCAGUGAGUGAUUUGAAAUCAUCAGCAGGAACCCCAUGACCUACUCAGGCAGUGAAGGACUCAAGAUGACACAACUAUGACUCAUGGCAGGGGUGCUAAGCCUUAGAGCAAAGCUCGCAUCCUCAUGUCUGUGAGGCGAAUGGAGGUAAACUGUGUCUGACUGUGUGGCAGUCACGUGGAUGAACUUGUCAGUUACAUAAGCACACUGAACAUGGGUUUGAGGAGGAAGAAAAGGCAACUUAAGGGGCCACUGUUUUCUACUCCUUUAAGCAAGGAUAGGAAUGAUGCAGGCACACUUAAGGUUAACUGUAGGUGUGUCCUUCAGAACUUUUAACCUUGUCCAACAAGAGACUAUAAGAUCUAAGACUCAACGCAUCAUGCUAGGCUCUUUGCUGGGUACUGUUGUCAGUUCUUUCACCUACUUCCCAUACCCACGUCGCUUGAUUGUUUACACACCAGCAAUGUCCAUCAACACAGUGCCAUGCUUAGAGCUGAACCCUGGGAAAUGGAUCCAGAGACUUCCAUUAUAGAGAGAUGGGGUCCUAAAGGGUCUUGGCUCCACAGUGACAACCGUUGGCAUAUUUUAGUUAGGGAUGCUCUGUUUGGACCACGGUGUUCCUUCCUGCUCCAUUCCAAGAUAAUUCUUUUGAAACCAUACUGUCUUCCAUUUGUCUCAGUCUUCAGUCAACUCAUAGGGAUAUCAGCACUCUUAACUCAGCCAGAUACCUUGCUGGUCUCCCAUAAAAGCCGUUGCCAUUGUGCCUCUGUAACCUUGUUAAAGCUCCAUACUUAAUUCAACUCACUUACUCAUUCAUUAAACAAAUAUUUGUUAAUCAUCUGCUUUGUGACAAAGAAUUCAAUGGGCAAGAAUUAACUAACAACACUGUUGGUCUAAAAGGGCCCAACAGGUGAUAAUAAUGGAUAAUUUAUUAGCAUUUAUAUUUACUUUGUGUCAGACUAACCUUAAGCCAUAUGUGUAUAUAUUAUAUAUGUAUGAUAUAUCAUCUUUUAUAGUGCAUAGAAUUAUAACUUAUAUACAAUAUGCAUAAUAAUGUACAUACAUAUGUAUUCAGUUUUCUUUAUACAUGGGUUGUAUCAAUAGAGUCAAAUUGUGGAUUGAAAACAUUCAAAAGAUAAUUAAAUCUGUUACUUACAUGUA